CCUACGGGAGGCAGCAGUGGGGAAUUUUGGACAAUGGGCGCAAGCCUGAUCCAGCAAUGCCGCGUGCAGGAUGAAGGCCUUCGGGUUGUAAACUGCUUUUGUACGGAGCGAAACGGUCUACUCUAAUACAGUGGGCUAAUGACGGUACCGUAAGAAUAAGCACCGGCUAACUACGUGCCAGCAGCCGCGGUAAUACGUAGGGUGCGAGCGUUAAUCGGAAUUACUGGGCGUAAAGCGUGCGCAGGCGGUUAUAUAAGACAGAUGUGAAAUCCCCGGGCUCAACCUGGGACCUGCAUUUGUGACUGUAUAGCUAGAGUGCGGCAGAGGGGGAUGGAAUUCCGCGUGUAGCAGUGAAAUGCGUAGAUAUGCGGAGGAACACCGAUGGCGAAGGCAAUCCCCUGGGCCUGCACUGACGCUCAUGCACGAAAGCGUGGGGAGCAAACAGGAUUAGAUACCCUGGUAGUCCACGCCCUAAACGAUGUCAACUGGUUGUUGGGUCUUCACUGACUCAGUAACGAAGCUAACGCGUGAAGUUGACCGCCUGGGGAGUACGGCCGCGAAGGUUGAAACUCAAAGGAUUGACGG
rnacentral:rRNA from 1 species